AUUGAACGCUGGCGGCAGGCCUAACACAUGCAAGUCGAACGAGUGGCGGACGGGUGAGUAAUGUCUGGGAAACUGCCUGAUGGAGGGGGAUAACUACUGGAAACGGUAGCUAAUACCGCAUACCAUCGGAUGUGCCCAGAUGGGAUUAGCUAGUAGGUGGGGUAACGGCACACCUAGGCGACGAUCACUAGCUGGUCUGAGAGGAUGACCAGCCACACGGGAGCUGAGACACGGUCCAGACGCCUGCGGUAGGAAGCAGUGGGGAAUAUUGCACAAUGGGCGCAAGCCUGAUGCAGCCAUGCCGCGUGUAUGAGGAAGGCCUUCGGGUGGUAAAGUACUUUCAGCGGGGAGGCGUUACCCGCAGAAGAAGCACCGGCUAACUCCGUGCCAGCAGCCGCGGUAAUAC
rnacentral:rRNA from 1 species